rnacentral:rRNA from 1 species
AUUGAACGCUAGCGGGAUGCUUUACACAUGCAAGUCGAACGGCAGCGCGGACUUCGGUCUGGCGGCGAGUGGCGAACGGGUGAGUAAUGUAUCGGAACGUGCCCAGUAGCGGGGGAUAACUACGCGAAAGCGUAGCUAAUACCGCAUACGCCCUACGGGGGAAAGCAGGGGAUCGUAAGACCUUGCACUAUUGGAGCAGCCGAGAUCGGAUUAGCUAGUUGGUGAGGUAACGGCUUACCAAGGCGACGAUCCGUAGCUGGUUUGAGAGGACGACCAGCCACACUGGGACUGAGACACGGCCCAGACUCCUACGGGAGGCAGCAGUGGGGAAUUUUGGACAAUGGGGGAAACCCUGAUCCAGCCAUCCCGCGUGUGUGAUGAAGGCCUUCGGGUUGUAAAGCACUUUUGGCAGGAAAGAAACGUCGCGGGCUAAUACCCCGUGGAACUGACGGUACCUGCAGAAUAAGCACCGGCUAACUACGUG